rnacentral:rRNA from 1 species
GACGAACGCUGGCGGCGUGCUUAACACAUGCAAGUCGGACGGAAAGGCCCUGCUUUUGUGGGGUGCUCGAGUGGCGAACGGGUGAGUAACACGUGAGUAACCUGCCCUUGACUUUGGGAUAACUUCAGGAAACUGGGGCUAAUACCGGAUAGGAGCUCCUGCUGCAUGGUGGGGGUUGGAAAGCUUCGGCGGUUGGGGAUGGACUGGCGGCUUAUCAGCUUGUUGGUGGGGUAGUGGCUUACCAAGGCUUUGACGGGUAUCCGGCCUGAGAGGGUGACCGGCCACAUGGGGACUGAGAGACGGCGCAGACUGCUACGGGAGGCAGCGGUGGGGAAUAUUGCACAAUGGGCGGAAGCCUGAUGCAGCAACGCCGCGGGCGGGAUGACGGCCUUCGGGUUGUAAACCGCUUUCGCCUGUGACGAAGCGUGAGUGACGGUAAUGGGUAAAGAAGCACCGGCUAACUACGUG